GCCAGGCAUGGUGGCGUAUGCCUGUAAUCCCAGUGACUCCGGAGGCUGAGGCAGGACGAUUGAAAGUUUAAGGCCAGCCUCAGCAACUUUGCAAGACUCUGUCUCAA
rnacentral:sRNA from 1 species